UGUUUGGGAAUGCAGCUCUAAAUGGGUGGUAAGUUUCAUCUAAAGCUAAAUAAUGGCGAGAGACCGAUAGCGAACAAGUACCGUGAGGGAAAGAUGAAAAGAACUUUGAAAAGAGAGUUAAAAGUACUUGAAAUUGCUAAGAGGGAAGCGCUGUCAACCAGUGAUAUGCGUCAUUCAUCGCUUUCAGCCCCACUAGCUGUCGUGAGUAGUAUUUAAAUCUGCUUGCGGCCGCGAAAGGGAGGUUGGGAGUUUAGGAUGGCGUGUCAGUCAAGAUCCAUUCGAUGAGUGGAAGAAGGGAGUGGGGAAGGUAGGACACUUGUGUCUGUUAUAGCCCCAUUUCUCUACCUCGCGUUGGAUGGAGGAAGGAAUAGUGCGCCGCUUGCGGCUUGGUCCUGCGUCUCUAUUGCUCUAUUUGCUCUCAUAGCAAUGCUAUGUUGGUGGAAAAAAGUAAUACUGGGCGUAGUGAUUCUAUGUGCCAUCACGAUCUUGUACGAAAUGGUUUUUAUCGACCCGUCUUGAAACACGGACC
rnacentral:rRNA from 1 species